UACGGAGGGGGCCAGCGUUGCUCGGAAUUACUGGGCGUAAAGGGCUUGUAGGCGGUCUGAUAAGUCCUGUGUGAAAUCCCUUGGCUUAACCAAGGAACUGCGCCGGAUACUGUCGGACUAGAGGCCGGGAGAGGGAAGCGGAAUUCCCAGUGUAGCGGUGAAAUGCGUAGAUAUUGGGAGGAACACCGGUGGCGAAGGCGGCUUCCUGGACCGGUUCUGACGCUGAAGAGCGAAAGCUAGGGUAGCAAACAGG
rnacentral:rRNA from 1 species